rnacentral:misc_RNA from 1 species
UGGAGCAGCUGGCUGUGUAC